GACGAACGCUGGCGGCGUGCUUAACACAUGCAAGUCGAACGGAAAGGCCCUGCUUUUGUGGGGUGCUCGAGUGGCGAACGGGUGAGUAACACGUGAGUAACCUGCCCUUGACUUUGGGAUAACUUCAGGAAACUGGGGCUAAUACCGGAUAGGAGCUCCUGCUGCAUGGUGGGGGUUGGAAAGGUUCGGCGGUUGGGGAUGGACUCGCGGCUUAUCAGCUUGUUGGUGGGGUAGUGGCUUACCAAGGCUUUGACGGGUAGCCGGCCUGAGAGGGUGACCGGCCACAUUGGGACUGAGAUACGGCCCAGACUCCUACGGGAGGCAGCAGUGGGGAAUAUUGCACAAUGGGCGGAAGCCUGAUGCAGCAACGCCGCGUGCGGGAUGACGGCCUUCGGGUUAUAAACCGCUUUCGCCUGUGCCGAAGCGUGAGUGACGGUAAUGGGUAAAGAAGCACCGGCUAACUACGUG
rnacentral:rRNA from 1 species